UACGUAGGGCGCAAGCGUUAUCCGGAAUUAUUGGGCGUAAAGAGCUCGUAGGCGGUUUGUCGCGUCUGCCGUGAAAGUCCGGGGCUCAACUCCGGAUCUGCGGUGGGUACGGGCAGACUAGAGUGAUGUAGGGGAGACUGGAAUUCCUGGUGUAGCGGUGAAAUGCGCAGAUAUCAGGAGGAACACCGAUGGCGAAGGCAGGUCUCUGGGCAUUAACUGACGCUGAGACCCGAAAGCCAGGGGAGCGAACCGG
rnacentral:misc_RNA from 1 species